rnacentral:rRNA from 1 species
CUGAGUCCGGGCGAGGAGACGCUGUAGUAUGGUGGAUGCAAGCGGGAGACGGAAGUAUGGGGAGUAAAGAGGUGGUGAGUGGGCAGGGGAAGUAGAAGGUGAAAGCGGGUGGCUUAACCAGACAUCCAUUGUCUAAACUGGUGAGCGAGAGGAGGAGAGAGGUUGUUGGAAUGCCCAGUGUAGGAGUGAAAGCCGUAGAUAUUGGGAGGAACAGCGAGGGCGUAGGCAGAUAACUGGCGCGUUCCUGACACUAAGGCACGAAAGCGUGGGGAGCAAACGGGAUUAGAUACCCGAGUAGUC